CUGCUUGUACACAGUUUCCCUUCCCCUUCUACCGAGGCCCCUCCAACGGGACUGGUGCCCGCUUAGGAGGGAGCCCUCCCGGUUCUGGAGCGGGCUCCCAUGAACAUCAGAGCUCCAACAAAAUUGGCCGUGGGCAGAGUGAGGUUCUACGGUCAACACCACGGGGAGGUCAACUGCUCUGCCUUCUCCCCUGAUGGCCGGAACCUGAUCACAGCCUCAGAUGAUGGUUGUGUGUAUGUAUGGGGGACGAAGAGUGGGCGACUGCUGUGGAGACUGGCAGGCCACAAAGGCCCAGUGAAGUCUUGCCGUUUCUCUCCCGAUGGCCGCCUCGUUGCCAGCUCCUCCUGUGACCACACCAUCCGCCUGUGGGAUGUGGCAAAAGCCAAAUGCCUGCAUGUGCUGAAAGGUCACCAGAGGAGUGUGGAAACUGUCAGCUUCAGCCCUGACUCAAAGCAGCUGGCAUCAGGUGGCUGGGACAAGAGGGUGAUUCUCUGGGAAGUGCAGUCCGGCCGCAAUGUGCGCUUCUUGCCUGGGCAUUGUGAUUCCAUCCAGAGCAGUGACUUCUCUCCAACCUCGGAUUCUCUGGCCACUGGCUCCUGGGACUCGACUGUGCACAUCUGGGACUUGCGGGCAUCAAGCCCAGCUGUCUCCUUCCGUAAUUUGGAGGGCCACACUGGCAACAUCAGCUGCUUGAAGUACUCAGCAUCUGGCCUCUUGGCAUCUGGCUCCUGGGACAAGACAGUCCGCAUCUGGAAGCCCACAACCAACAACCUGCUUCUGCAGCUCAGGGGCCACGCCACCUGGGUCAAUAGCCUAGCCUUCUCUCCCGAUGAGCUAAAGCUGGCCAGUGCUGGUUACUCUCGUAUGGUCAAAGUCUGGGACUGCCUCACAGGGAAAUGCCUUGAGACCCUAAAGGGCAUGCUGGAUGUGGCCCAUGCCUGCAUUUUCACUCCAAAUGGCAAACUCUUAGUGUCAGGGAUUGCUGACGCGACAAGAUGACAAGUCUGCUGAAAGUCAAGAACUUCAUCCAUGUAACUUACCCACAGGCCUAAGUACAAGGCCUCUAUAUAUACCCUGGGCUUGUUUCGUACCCAAGUUUGGCAUCGAAAGUUCGACACCACCUGGCAAGGGUCACAAUAGAGUCAAACUCCAGCAAAAACUGAUGGAGACGUAGUACAAAUCUCAUCCCCAGAUUUUUUGGCAUUUCCGAUUAUUGCUUUAGGUCUGGGCAUGGAAUCAGUCUUGUGACUCCAGCGCCCAGGCAGUGGAAAAGGAGGAUCCGGAGUUCAGGCCUCCUUCAUACCCUGAUUGUAUGAAGGAUUCCAAGACGUGCUGAGUUUGGUUCCGUGGUAGUGUUUGCCUGGCUUGCACAAAGCUGUGUCCAGUCCCCGGCAGCUGUUAUAUGAGUAAAUAAAAACUCCGAAACAAAAUCAGAGCCUUGCUUUAUUGCUAGUACUAGUUGAUCUUGGCGAGUCCCUUCGCGUCUCUGUUAAGUGUAUUUUUUUGAGGGUUAGAGGAACUAAACAAAACUUUCGAAGCUCCCAGCUAAGACCUGAUAGGUAAAGAUCGAGGAAAGUAUCAGUUGGUAUUAACAUGGUUAAAGAGCACAUAGCCCUUUACCCACAGUCCCAGACAGACCACCAGCAUGUAGAUCAGAGCAAAGCAGACUAGAUGUUAGGUUUCAGUAAUAAAUGACCAAACUGACCAAUCAGAGCCCUUUUCUUUGCCAAGCUCUUGCAGCUGCCCUUUUCCCAUCAGUUUCUCAGCUGUUGUUCAAGACAUGAUGCUGAUAGCCGACCAGGGACUCAGGGUACUGUAAUGAACAUUUUUUUAGUCACCACCCACCCCAAGAGUAGCAGCCUAACCUUGUAUCCUAAGUGCUCUUACGUACCAAAAUGAGUUAAGCCAUGUGUUUGUGUGCCUGUUUCCAGAGCCAGUCUUGAAGGUCUCUGAGGGUUUAAUGCUCUCUAGGCCCAGGAUGUGGGUCCUGCUUGGAUAGAAUGAAUUAAUAAGCCUUUUGUAAGUGGGAUAAGAGGAAAUGAGCAGAGUGUGGAUUAGUUUUAUCCUUUUUUUUUUUUUUUCGGGGAGCUGGGGACCGAACCCAGGGCCUUGCUCUUGCUAGGCAAGUGCUCUACCACUGAGCUAAAUCCCCAACCCUGUGGAUUAGUUUUAAAUGGAAGUCUAAAGAUACAACUUACCAGAUGAUCAGGAUUCUACUAGAGUUAUGAUUAUACAUAUUUCUGGAAAUUUUUUGUGGUGCUAGGAUUAAACCCAGGAUUCACAAUGUAUUUUUAAUUCCCAGUGUAUUGGGGUUACAUCCUCAUAUUUGAAGACAAAAACUUAUAGGUAAUUUAUUUUUACAUGGCACAUGCAGUGCCAACAGACGUGACUGGAUCACCCUGGAGGUAGAGCUGCUAUGUAGAUGCUGGGAACUGGGAACUGAACCUAGGUCUUCUCUAGGAGUAGCAAGUUUUUUGUUUGUUUUUUUUUUUUAAUUUUGAGACAGUUUCACUGUGUAGCCUUGGCUGAUCUGGAACUAUGUAGACCAAACUAUCUAGAACUCACAAGAACCUCUUGCCAUUGCUUCCUAAGUGCUGGGAUAAGAGGCAUGUGCCACAUUACUGGCUGUGUGCAGCAGGAGCUCUCCAGCCUGGGACUUGUUCUGAGGCAGGGACUCACUAAAUGCACAUAGAUGGUUGAUCCUCUUGGCUUAAUCCGGAGAAUCAGUAUUAAGGGAGUGUACCACCACAUCAAAUUUCAUAUCAUGAUUUAAAAUCCUAUCUGCCAGCCACUGGUAGUACAUGCCUUUAAUCCCAGCACUUGGGAGGCAGAGGUAGGUGGAUCUUCAGAGUUUGAGGUCAGUCUGGUCUACAGAGCAAGGUCCAAGACAGCCAGGGUAAAACAGAGAAACCCUGUCUCAAACAAAACAAAAAUCCCUUUUGCCUGAUGAACAUCCAUGAACACAAGCUAGAACAUUAUUUCAUUCAUUAGUUUAUUUGAGGCUAUUUACCUGUCAAACCAGUAUUUCUGGUAUUAAGUUCCUUCUGACCAAGAUGUUCUAAGGGAGGGACUGGAGUGAUGGCUGGGCAGUUAAAAGCACUUACUGCUUUUACAGAGGACCUGGGGUUCCAUUCCCAAUAACCAUAAGACAUGGUGGCUAGUAACCAUCUGUGUAAUCCCAGUUCCAAAAGGAUCCCACGUCCUUUCCUGGCCUCCAGCAGGCAAUACACCCAGGUGGUGCUCAAAAAUACUUGAAGACAAAAUAUUUAAGAAAAAUAAUAAAGUUGUUCUGGGGAUAUGAAUUCCUGCUAUCUUCUGAUUAACUUGCGCCCCUAUUACUUCUUAGGUAUGAGGCAGGACUACAUUCAGGAUCUGAGUCUUUAUUCAGCGUGUACUUGCCCCCAUGGGAGCUUGCCUUUAGCAUCCCAAGGUUAGGGUGCAUCAGCCUGGAAGUUUUUGAUUUGAAGUUAAAGGAGAACUAUGUAAAGCAAAACCAUGUUUCACCUGAUUUUUGUUCGCGUUCUAUUAGGUGAAAAUAUAAUAGCUUUCGUAUAAUUACAAAAAAAAGGAUUCAUUUUAGCCUACGGUUGAAAUAAAGAGAAACCAGCAUCCCAAGCGUCCGUCCUAGAAGCCACCUUCCUCCCAUCGAAUUAUGGGAAUUCUGUAGUUUUCGCCUCCUAAAAUGCGCCUCUUCAGUUAGGAGUACAGGUGGCCAUGAGUCAUCUUUAUUUUCUGGAACGCUCGCAGGGGUCGGUACAUCCUCAAGUAAAGUUGUUACCAAGCGUCCUGCCAGCCCCGGGUUAUACAUUAACGCCUUUAGAGCCGUUUAGUUUUAACAAAGAAGUCCCUUGUGGGUCAAUGCGGUUAGUGUUUAAGAGACUCCGGCACUGCGGUUCACUACCACUCAUCUCCAUCAGCUCAUAAACUUCUUCCUCCGGAGCGGACAGAGGCGGAAGAUGUCCUUGCACUGCAGUCCGGCUUCUGGGACGACAGAGUUACGCCUGCAACCUCCGACAGCACUACACCAGCUUUCCAC